rnacentral:tRNA from 1 species
GCGGGUGUAGCUCAAUGGUAGAGUUCUGACCAUCCAAGCCAGCUGUGAGGGUUCGUUCCCCUUCACCCGCUCCA